GGGUGACUAUAAUAAUUUUUGGUAGGCCUAGUCCAGUGUUUUUGUUUUGACUGGCAACAACAUUCCAAUGCUCUGAGCAGUCGUCAGGGCAUGGGCGUAUUAUCUGUGCCUUUACAAACACACCACUUGUGUUUUGCAGCCUACAACAAGCUGUAAUGGCAAGGACAUGAGAUUACAUACCUUUGAUAUGAAAAUAACUACACCAAAUUUGUUGGCAAGAAAGAAUCCAUGUCUAUAUCAAAAACAGAACCAAGUCUGUUCCUAAUUAUUCCUGAAAUGUCCUCCAUGUUAAGGCCAAAUGUAUUAAAACCAAUGUCACUGAACACCAGAGACAGGGUUCUCUUCUUUGGUAAUAACACCCUCAUUAAUUAACAUUCCACAUUUGACAUUUUUUGUCCUUUAGUAGAUUCUCUUAUCCAGAGCGACUUACAGUUAAUGCAUUCAUCUUAAGAGAGCUAGGUAGAACAACCACAUAUCACAGACAAGAGACCUGAGGUGGCAGAACAGAGUGCUCGGGUUGGGGUGUGGAGUUUGAUCAUAGCCUGACGGUAGGGAGGGGCAAUUCCUCUUGCUGUUCCGUCAGUAAGCACCAUGGUCUUGUAGUGGAUGCAAGCUUCGACUGGAAGCCAGUGGUUGUACAGAGGAGUGGGGUGACAUGGGAGAACUUGGGAAGGUUGAAAACCAGGCGGGCUGCAGGGGUUUGAUGGCACAAGAGGAGAACCCAGCCAACAACGAGUUGCGGUAGUUCCGACAUCCAAGUUGAGUUAUCUGCCAGGCACGCAGAGAUGCGUGUCGCCACCUGGGUGUCAGAAGGAGGGAAGGAGAAAAGUAGUUGAUUGUCAUCCUCACAGAAAUGAUAGGAGAGACAAUGUGAGGAUAUGACUUGGUAUAUAGAGGGAAGAGGAGAGAGACUAGAACCAGCGGACACCAGUAGUGAGAGUACGUAGUGCAGACACAGAUCCUCUCCACGUCACGGUAGGAGCGGCCUGCCAGGUAGGAUGCAGUCCAAGAGUGUGCAGCGCCUGAGAUGCCCAGCCCUGAGAGGGUGGAGAGGAGGACCUGAUGUGUCGAAGGCAGUGUAUAGAUCUAGGAGGAUGAGAACAGAGGAGAGAGAGUCAGCUCUGGCAGUGCAGAGAGCCUCCGUGACACAGAGGAGAGAGAGUCAGCUCUGGCAGUGAGGAGAGCCUCUGUGACACAGAGGAGAGAGAGUCAGCUCUGGCAGUGCAGAGAGCCUCCGCGACACAGAGGAGAGAGAGUCAGCUCUGGCAGUGAGGAGAGCCUCUGUGACACAGAGGAGAGAGAGUCAGCUCUGGCAGUGCAGACCUGUAUCCCUUCUUGCAGUGCAGAGAGCCUCCGUGACACAGAGGAGAGAGAGUCAGCUCUGGCAGUGCAGACCUCCUCCGUGACACAGAGGAGAGAGAGUCAGCUCUGGCAGUGCAGAGAGCCUCCAUGACGCAGAGGAGAGAGAGUCAGCUCU
ensembl:lncRNA